UCAAGGCGCUUCAUAUUGUAAAGUAGACCCUAUAAUAAUGCACACAGGGAAACCGCAAAACAGGAAAGCAGGCUCGGUUGAUGGUCAAACUGUCAGCUCAUAGAACACAAAACAGGAAAGAGGUUAAUUAACGAGAGCGGUGAAAAUAAACUAACAGAAAGGAAAUUUACUUGAGAAAAAAAAAACACUGUGCAAAUCAAAAGGCCAAUUUAAGAAAGAUUCACACUAUGUUCUACCAAGUUAAAAACAAAUUCAACAAAGCGCCUUCAAUUACAUUUAUCAUUUAAAUCAGUCUAAAAAAGAAGUAGGUGUUCCAUUCCACAACAGCAACAUUGUCCAAAUUAAAAAUAGUAAUACUCAUAAAGGCUCUGUUCUUCAUACUUUCAGGAUAAAGCAACAUUAAAUAACGGAUCCUCCACCUGAAAUAAUUCCAAUUUGUAUAAAUUCACACUGAAGACCAAAAUAGUUGUCGCACAUGAUAAAACAGAAUUUAAUAAUACAUUGCCUGUUAAUUAAACAACAAUGAUUUAAAAGAUUACAUUGAGCUCAAUACCACACUAUUGUCUCUAAACAUUUAGAUCCACAAACUAUCCAAUUUAAAUAACAAGGAAUUGGAAAUGCAUGCUGGUAACAGGUUUUGAUUCAGAUUGAAUGAAAUCAAAGCCUAAUUAAAUCACCCAGGAAUUGGGGUGCGGGUUGUGCAUGCUCACACGUGCACAUACCUGCACGAGUAAAGCCACUGGGAUGGACUCAAACAUUGAGACUUGAUACAAGGAAUGGUAAGAAAACCUGGAGACUUAACCUGAGCACAAGAGAUUUUUAAUCGUGCGACUGUUUUGGGGAUCGGCCCGAGUCUCGCCUUAAUUGUGUGUCGUCCAUCGUGUAGUAUACAUGGGGUAACGAGAAGCGAUCAGGACCAGCUCCUGAUCAGCAAUAGUAUGAUCGCAAGAAAAUCAAACCUGUUUGAAAUCCUGUCGCCCCUCCCGAAGUUAUCAACUCAACCUCUCACACUGCGCAUGCGCAAACAGAGAAAUAGAAGUGAAAAAGACGGAGCAGCACGGCAGUGCAGCGUGUGAUCUGGACACAAGCGAUGGAGGCACAACUUGUAGAACUUUGGCAAGCUCAUUCGAGCCUUUUCGAUGUGGCCUCACACAUAGCUGGACUGUCGGGCAUACCGGAGUUCUAAGCAGACACCCUGGAGGACACUAGCUGGCCAGCCAGACCCAGCUGCCAAGGUGCGAAUGACAUAUUCAGGGUUUGAAGAAACAUGUCUCCACAGCUGAGCAAAAAUGUACAAGAAACAUAUAAUGGCCUUACAGGGAUGCCGUGACGCUCUCUGAUGGACUGGCGAAGCGUGCAGGACACCACGCAGCAUGCAUCACAGAGUGGGAGGCAGCAACACCAGCCAUGCUUGUUGGCUGUAUCACACUGCAUGCAGGGGAAACACC